CCUGCUUCCAGCGUCACUUUCUAACCCAGCCAGCAGCGAGUCUCCACAUCUCAUUUUUGACUUCAUACUCUGCCGUGCCAAAACUUCUCCAAAAUGAGCUCCAGGUACAGCAGCAUCCAGUCCUCCAAGAUGUCCAUAGCCCGCUCUACACCUCCAUACCGUGCUAUGAGCGUUCAUGGUGGUGCUAUUCCAUCCAGCAGCCGCAUCUCCUCUGUCUCCACGUCCUUCCUGCGUUCUGGUGCUCCAAUGGCAUCAUCUUCAUCUGGGUUCAAGCUCAGCAGUGCACUGGAUGGCAGCAUGGGCGCUGGUUUUGGUGGUGCUCGUGCAUCUGUGGCAGCUGGUGGUGGUUCUGGUGCUGGGAUCCUGGGCAAUGAGAAGGGAGCCAUGCAGAACCUGAAUGACCGUCUGGCCAAUUACCUGGAGACAGUGAGGAACCUGGAAAAGGCCAACGGGGAGCUGGAGAGGAAAAUCAGGGAGGCUCUGGAGAAGGGGGGGCCCGACAUGAGAGACUACAGCAAGUAUGAGCCCAUCAUUGAAGACCUACGCAAACAGAUCUUUGAUAAGAUAGUGGAGAACGCUAGUUUUGUGCUCCAGAUUGACAAUGCCCGUCUGGCCGCUGACGACUUCAAAGUCAAGUAUGACAAUGAGAUGGCCAUUCGCCAGUCUGUGGAGGCCGACAUUGCUGGUCUGAAGAAAGUCAUCGAUGACACCAACAUGACCAGGAUGAACAUCGAGAGUGAGAUUGAAGCUGUGAAGGAGGAGCUCCUCUUCCUGAAGAAAAAUCAUGAAAAUGAGGUGAUGGAACUGAGGAAUCAGAUCUCCCAAUCAGGCGUCCAAGUGGACGUAGACGCUCCCAAAGGUCAGGACCUGUCCCAGAUCAUGGAGGACAUGAGAGCCAACUAUGAGAAGAUGGCUGUGAAGAACGCAGAAGACCUCAAACGGUGGCAUGAAAAUCAGAUUGCAGAUGUGCAGGUUCAGGUAUCACAGAACACAGAAGCUCUCCAGGGAGCUCAGAUGGAGAUGAGUGACCUAUCGAGACAGAUACAGACCCUGGAAAUCGAACUCGCAUCUCAACAGAGUUUGAAAGCGUCUUUAGAGGACACACUACGCAACACAGAGCUACGCAACAACAUGGAAAUGGAGAAGUACAACAACAUCAUUGUCCGUCUGGAGGAGGAGCUGACCAACCUGCGUGCAAACAUACAGCAACAGACCCAAGAUUACGAAGCGCUGCUCAACAUGAAGAUGAAACUCGAGGCCGAGAUCAGCACUUACAAGACUCUGCUGGAUGGUGGAGACUUCAAGUAAGAGUUAAAAAGAUGUGGAGAAGAAAAAAACAAGUCAAGGCGAGAUGAUGGUGGUGGUGGAGGCUCCAGGAUGCUGUGGAUGAGCUGGCGGCCACAAUCUAAUUUGGAAACAAGAAUCCUCACAACAAUGAAAGUAAAGCUGCCCGUGACUAUCAGUUAUGAAAGAAGAAAAAAAAAAGUUCCGCUGGUCCAAUCAGCAAACACUAUUUUUGCACCACUUGCUAUGUAAACCAGAAGUGAUUGAAGCUAUUCUGAAUAAAGGCAUUCCUCCACACCGCAAUGGAACACAGGGCAGUUUCAAAAGCAACCAUCGCCUGGCACCAAAACAGAAAUGAAUAAAACCACUUGUUUUUCCACA